rnacentral:lncRNA from 1 species
AUUGCGCUGUCCGUUGUCGAAGUGGUAACAUCUCAUCAAAAAAUAAAACAUUAUCAUCAAUAAUGUGUGAUUCUCCUGACAUUCGUUUCUCACAAUACGCUCAAGGUUUUCCUACUCCAAGUUUGAGCUGGCAUACACCAGAGCCACAACCUCGUGCGAGUAAGAAGCCUAGAGUGAGAAGUCAAAAGCAAAAGCAGACUCCAGUGUACCAAUCGUUCGUCAUCAACAAUGAGAAGAAAAAAGGUGUACGGCUCAUUCAAGUACAAGUGUUGGACAUUAAUGAACAACAAAAACCUGCAACCCCUGACGGAGAAGUGCUAGUGAUGAGUGCGCAAUACGUUGUGACUGAGCCUGUGGACUAUAUAAUGGACGAGACACAGGCAUUAAUAAAUAAAAUAUCCAAAAAACUUUGUGAAGACUAUAGUUAUAAGUUAUAAGUUAAGUAUGAUUAUUUGUAGAUAUGUAUGUAAAUAUGUUGCAUGUGAAUAAUAUAGGUAGAUUUUAGUUAUUAACUUUAGGAUAUUUCUAU